GCUCCCGCAGUUUAUGAAAACAUUAAAUUUGUAAUUUUAUAGAGAUCCACUGGAUUCGGGAGCU
rnacentral:tRNA from 1 species